rnacentral:rRNA from 1 species
AGCUCCAAUAGCGUAUAUUAAAGUUGUUGUGGUUAAAAAGCUCGUAGUUGGAUUUCGGCGGGCAUUGGUUGGUUUGAAUUGUUUCAACACUGACUAUUUUGCCCGUGUGUUUUGCCAGAAUUUAACGGGUGCUCUUCGUUGAGUGACUCGGAGCGCCGUCAGGUUUACUUUGAAAAAAUUAGAGUGCUCAAAGCAGGCUUUUCACGCUUGAAUAUUCGUGCAUGGAAUAAUGGAAUAGGAACUCGUUUCUAUUUUGUUGGUUUUCGGAAAUCGAGUUAAUGAUUAACAGGGACAAUUGGGGGCAUUAGUAUUCAGACGACAGAGGUGAAAUUCUUGGACCGUCUGAAGACUGACUACUGCGAAAGCAUUUGCCAAGAGUGUUUUCA